GACACGCUGGCGGCGUGCCUAACACAUGCAAGUCGAGCGAAUGAAGUUUCUUCGGGAACGGAUUUAGCGGCGGACGGGUGAGUAACACGUGGGCAACCUGCCUCAUAGAGGGGAAUAGCCUUCCGAAAGGGAGAUUAAUACCGCAUAAGAUUGUAGUACCGCAUGGUACAGCAAUUAAAGGAGCAAUCCGCUAUGAGAUGGGCCCGCGGCGCAUUAGCUAGUUGGUGAGGUAACGGCUCACCAAGGCGACGAUGCGUAGCCGACCUGAGAGGGUGAUCGGCCACAUUGGGACUGAGACACGGCCCAGACUCCUACGGGAGGCAGCAGUGGGGAAUAUUGCACAAUGGGGGAAACCCUGAUGCAGCAACGCCGCGUGAGUGAUGACGGCCUUCGGGUUGUAAAGCUCUGUCUUUAGGGACGAUAAUGACGGUACCUAAGGAGGAAGCCACGGCUAACUACGUG
rnacentral:rRNA from 1 species